rnacentral:pre_miRNA from 1 species
GUAGGGCAAUCUGUCUUUGUAGGGAUAAAUUACUCUAAAAGAAAUGAAUCCUAGAUAGUUUUCCCUUCAAGUCAAGCAUCUUG